rnacentral:rRNA from 1 species
UACAGAGGGUGCAAGCGUUUGUUCGGAAUUAUUGGGCGUAAAGCGCGUGUAGGUGGCUUUGCAAGUCGGGUGUGAAAGCCCUCAGCUCAACUGAGGAAGUGCGCCCGAAACUGCAGAGCUUGAGUACCGGAGAGGGUGGCGGAAUUCCCCAAGUAGAGGUGAAAUUCGUAGAUAUGGGGAGGAACACCUGUGGCGAAGGCGGCCAGCUGGGCCGUCCCUGACGCUGAGGCGCGAAGGCGUGGGGAGCGAACGGG